GCACCAUUAAUAUCUCAGCUGGUAAGAGCAGGAGACUCUUAAUCUCAAGGUUGUGGAUUCGAGUCCCACGUUGGGCA